GACGAACGCUGGCGGCGUGCUUAACACAUGCAAGUCGAACGCUGAAGCUCAGCUUUUGUUGGGUGGAUGAGUGGCGAACGGGUGAGUAACACGUGAGUAACCUGCCUCCUUCUUUGGGAUAACGCCCGGAAACGGGUGCUAAUACUGGAUAUUCACUGGUCUUCGCAUGGGGGUUGGUGGAAAGGGUUUUUCUGGUGGGGGAUGGGCUCGCGGCCUAUCAGCUUGUUGGUGGGGUGAUGGCCUACCAAGGCUUUGACGGGUAGCCGGCCUGGGAGGGUGACCGGUAACAUUGGGACUGAGAUACGGCCCAGACUACUACGGGAGGCAGCAGUGGGGAAUAUUGCACAAUGGGCGCAAGCCUGAUGCAGCGACGCCGCGUGAGGGAUGGAGGCCUUCGGGUUGUGAACCUCUUUCGCUCAUGGUCAAGCCGCAACAAUGGUUGUGGUGAGGGUAGUGGGUAAAGAAGCGCCGGCUAACUACGUG
rnacentral:rRNA from 1 species